rnacentral:rRNA from 1 species
UUAAAUUGAAGAGUUUGAUCAUGGCUCAGAUUGAACGCUGGCGGCAGGCCUAACACAUGCAAGUCGAGCGGUAGCACAGAGAGCUUGCUCUCGGGUGACGAGCGGCGGACGGGUGAGUAAUGUCUGGGAAACUGCCUGAUGGAGGGGGAUAACUACUGGAAACGGUAGCUAAUACCGCAUAAUGUCGCAAGACCAAAGUGGGGGACCUUCGGGCCUCAUGCCAUCAGAUGUGCCCAGAUGGGAUUAGCUAGUAGGUGGGGUAACGGCUCACCUAGGCGACGAUCCCUAGCUGGUCUGAGAGGAUGACCAGCCACACUGGAACUGAGACACGGUCCAGACUCCUACGGGAGGCAGCAGUGGGGAAUAUUGCACAAUGGGCGCAAGCCUGAUGCAGCCAUGCCGCGUGUGUGAAGAAGGCCUCGGGUUGUAAAGCACUUUCAGCGGGGAGGAAGGCGGUGAGGUUAAUAACCUCAUCGAUUGACGUUACCCGCAGAAGAAGCACCGGCUAACUCCGUGCCAGCAGCCGCGGUAAUACGGAGGGUGCAAGCGUUAAUCGGAAUUACUGGGCGUAAAGCGCACGCAGGCGGUCUGUCAAGUCGGAUGUGAAAUCCCCGGGCUCAACCUGGGAACUGCAUUCGAAACUGGCAGGCUAGAGUCUUGUAGAGGGGGGUAGAAUUCCAGGUGUAGCGGUGAAAUGCGUAGAGAUCUGGAGGAAUACCGGUGGCGAAGGCGGCCCCCUGGACAAAGACUGACGCUCAGGUGCGAAAGCGUGGGGAGCAAACAGGAUUAGAUACCCUGGUAGUCCACGCCGUAAACGAUGUCGAUUUGGAGGUUGUGCCCUUGAGGCGUGGCUUCCGGAGCUAACGCGUUAAAUCGACCGCCUGGGGAGUACGGCCGCAAGGUUAAAACUCAAAUGAAUUGACGGGGGCCCGCACAAGCGGUGGAGCAUGUGGUUUAAUUCGAUGCAACGCGAAGAACCUUACCUGGUCUUGACAUCCACAGAACUUUCCAGAGAUGGAUUGGUGCCUUCGGGAACUGUGAGACAGGUGCUGCAUGGCUGUCGUCAGCUCGUGUUGUGAAAUGUUGGGUUAAGUCCCGCAACGAGCGCAACCCUUAUCCUUUGUUGCCAGCGGUCCGGCCGGGAACUCAAAGGAGACUGCCAGUGAUAAACUGGAGGAAGGUGGGGAUGACGUCAAGUCAUCAUGGCCCUUACGACCAGGGCUACACACGUGCUACAAUGGCAUAUACAAAGAGAAGCGACCUCGCGAGAGCAAGCGGACCUCAUAAAGUAUGUCGUAGUCCGGAUUGGAGUCUGCAACUCGACUCCAUGAAGUCGGAAUCGCUAGUAAUCGUAGAUCAGAAUGCUACGGUGAAUACGUUCCCGGGCCUUGUACACACCGCCCGUCACACCAUGGGAGUGGGUUGCAAAAGAAGUAGGUAGCUUAACCUUCGGGAGGGCGCUUACCACUUUGUGAUUCAUGACUGGGGUGAAGUCGUAACAAGGUAACCG